CCAGGAUCCCUUGGAGUGACACAGUUAAGAACAAAAGGGUGGGGAGGUGGAAGGAGGCUGCCCCCCCAACACCUCCCACACUCCAAAGCCUAGGCGAAACCCUGGCUGGGCCAGCUUUCUUCAGUGACCUCAUCCUUUUCCCUAGCUUCCUGACAUUCUGGAGGUGCAAUCUGAGUUUUCUUAGAAAGUCCGUGCUGGGUGGUGGUGGUGAUUGUGGGUCCAAGCACUUCUUCCUGUGAUGACUUAUUUUUGGUUCUGGCCUCUGUGGCCUUUUGAGGACAUCAGGGCAUUGUGCGGAUUUGUGGGAUUGAAAAGCACACGUUGGAGAAGGCUCCUCCCUGAGUGGUUGGGUGAAGGUGACCUCUUGGGAUCCUUCCCACAUUGAGGGGGUCCAGGACGGAGUUUUCUUGCCCUAGCUUUUCCGGGGUACUCUGAGCAGAUUGGGACCUCCUACUUCAACCUUUCUGUAGAACCCCUGGCCUUCAGGUUAGAUGAGCGGCUCAGGGGCCAUUCAUCACCUGGACCCAUUCACCUACCUCUGUUGUGACGCCCUCGCAGAGCUCUGGCCAUCUACUCUCCGCUAUUCUGCAGACCUGAUCUCUCACCUCUUUGGAUCUUUGCAGUGUGUUCCCUCUUCCUAGAGGGGCCUCCCUUCCUCUCCACCUUUGCUUGUCCUUUAGCCAGCCUGCCCUGAGCCCCAGGCCCACGUGGACAUGGCCAAGCAUCCCCUUUGCACUUCCCAGACCCUGGCUUGGCUAACCCACAGCUCUGUGGACUCUGUCGUGUGCUCAAGUUUGGCUGCCUCCCUCAGACUGAAUGCUCCUAGAAGCUAAGGACAGCAUCUUGGAGCUAAGGACAAGGCCUAGCCCAGUGUUAGAAGGGGUGGAUGGGAAGCUGUCCUUCCAAUAUCAGGCGUGAGCACUGAGUAGCCCCGAGAGCAGUGGGCCAGGCAAGGCAUGUCCUCCUUUUUUCUCCUGUGAGAAGGAUGCCAGGUCCUCCCCCUCACCUGCUGAUGCUGCCAUGAGUGCACUGUCAGGAAUUAAUGAGAUGCAGCCACGAGUGUUUAGCAGCCUGGGAGGCAGACUGGUUGAGUUGUUGGCUUUGCCCCAUUCCUGGGCCUGCUUUUGACGCCAGCCGAGAUUCCAUGAACAAGUUCCAGGGCUUGAGUUCUUAUCUCACUUUACUGCUCACUUGCUCCCUGAGUCAGUCCCUUCCCUUCCCUGGGUCUCACUUGCCUCAUCUGAGGUCUGGAGGAGCGGCCUUUGCCCAAUUUCCUCACUGUGAGCAGCGAGGCUGUUGCAGAGGAAAUGAGUGCAAAAGGGUUUGGAAGCACGAAGUGCCCAGUGUCAUAUUUGGCUCAAAGGAGGAGCAGCUGCAGGAGCCGUCUGGUUGCAGGCACGUCCAGAAGAGCACUUGCAUCGGUGGAAACUCCUAGAGCCUUUAUCCUCUCCCAGCCACUUUCCCAAGCUUUAGGCCAAGUGCCUUCACUUAUACCAGAAUCUCCUGCCCAGAAAAUUUCCAUGGCCUAUGGAUACAUCUUAGAGCAUAAUUUCCAUAGCUGGCGACACCUUCCUGGCCCCCAGGAGUCAGGAAUGAGCCAGGGAGAGGCUUUGACUCUGUCGGGAAAUGUUGGAUGCGCACAUUGUUGGCCAGUGCCAUGGGGCCGCGCAUCACCAGGCAGUAUUGUCAGGCUCUCCAGUGUCAUCGGGUGACACUGCCAGGCUGUGAAGUUCUGGUCCACCGCUUGCCCAAGAAGCAGCCUGGUUCUUGCCACCUUUGUCUCCGACUCCCACCUUCCUCAUUCCCUGCCUUGGCACAGUGAGACUCAAGAGGGCUAAGAUGAGAGAUGGUCAAGUGCCAGCCUGAUCAAUGUGGGGCUUAGGUCCAAAGAUCUGGGCUGAUGCCCCACUGCAUUCCAGGAAAGCCCCCCAUGUUUACGUGUUUGCUGGACAGAGGGUAAUAAUGCCAGGGGUUUAUUCAAAGAGAGGACAGCAUGGGCCUGGGACCCUGGACUCCUGAGGUUUUGGUGGCCAUGGAAUCUGGACUGGCCAGGGAGUGCUGGGGUACAUACUGGGCAGGAGGCAAGAGAUCGUGAAGAGAAGCUGGAACCAAAGAUGAACAGCUGGCCUGGAGGUCCUGGGUGGAGGGGAGUGGAUAAUCCUGGCCACCUGAUAGAAAAUGGAGAUUUAGGGGCUGGCCUGGGUUGGAGGGGGAUUGGUGGAGCAGAAGGUGAGAGGUGGAGCCUUUACAGAUUUCCUCAAGGUAGCUUUCAAAGCCAGGUGGUGCUUACUCUCCGAGGCUCUGGCCCAGCCUCAGAGGCCAGCCCCUGUGUUGGGUACAAGGUUCUGCUAACACACCUUUGUUGCUUUUCACUUUGUCUUGAUGCUCCUGCUGAAAAUAGCCCUGGAUGGGCCCACGUGUGCUGACUGGAUGUGCGGUGCAGUAAGGGAUAGUGUGCACAGAGACCUCUGCUCCCAAGGCCCACCCCAUCCUCCCUGCUGCUGCUGCAUGAUACUUGAAUUGACCCCAACUGGUCCUGAAAUGGCACACAUAGUAGGUGUGAUGUUCUUCAGCCUUCCAGGGCUGUGCUCUGGGCAGAGGGGCCUGUGGUGAGGAUGGUGAGGAUGCCAGCCCUUUAGCCUCAUGACUGGAUGGAUUUAUCCCUCUUCAGGGUUAUUCUGUGGCUUAGAUGGGAGUACAGCAUGGAGGGGGGGUGUCAUGCUCUGGGCGUGUAAUAGGCAGCAGCUCCUCUGCCGUGAGUCCCCAUCUGUCCACCCAUACAGCAGGUGGAAUUGUCAUGGCAUGACACGAAUAGCAAGCACCAAGGGGAUUUGUAAGCAAUAAAGCAAAGGAUGAGCAGAAGGAGUUAACGUGAUUUAUAAUAAACACGUAUUUUGUCUUCAAUCUGUUCCUGGCACAAGCUUCCUAAAACCCUCGGAAUUUCCUAAGUGAUGGGAGCCAGAAAAGUGUCUUUUGUUAUGUUAAUGAGGUGACUUUUGGGAAGCCUCUCUGUCCCCUAAGUCUGGGGAUCAGUGGAGCCAGCCCAUGUGUAGACAGUUGGAGCUCUCAGUUCUAUUUCUGGCCUCCCGGGAGGGGAGAGAGCUGGAGAUGGAGUUGGGGCCAGUGAACAAUGAUUUCAUCCAUCUUGCCUGUGUAAUCCAGGCUCCAUAAAGCCCCAAAAGAGUGGGGUUUGGAGAGCUUUCCCAGGUUGGUGAACAGGUGGAGUUUGGGGGAGAGCAACAGGCUCGAGAUUCCCAGGAGCUAUGCACCCUUUCCCCACACCUCGCUCUCUGUAUCUCUUCCAGCCCAGCUGUUCCUGAGUUCUGGUCUGUAUAAUACGCUGGCGACCUACGAAGUCAGUAUUUCUCUGAAGUGUUGUGAGCUGCUCUAGCAAAUUAAUCGAAUUGGAGAUGUCACCUUUCCUUCUUGGAGGGAUGAUGGGUGCUCUCAGUAUGGAUCCUAGCUCUACCACUUACCAUCUGGCUUCAGUUCCCUCCUCUGUGAAAUGGGCAUAAUGAGAGGACCUGCCUAUAAUGUCUCUGUAAGAAGUCAGUGACUUGGUCCCCAAGCAGAGAUUGGAAUGUUGUCUGUUAGUACUCAUGCAGAUAUGUGCUGUGGCCACUCUUAAGCCCCAUCCUCAGAUGGCACAGGCGCCAUGCAGUCUAUAAAUGUUGGUUGAAUAAAUGCAUAGAUAUAUGCCCCC